UCCAGGGUGUAAGGCGUGGAAAAAAAUCGCUGAGAGGCCGAGGAGAAGGUGGCUAUGGCAGCGCAUGCGACUUACAGCCGACGGUGAAGGGACUGAGUCCGCUUCUCUAGUGGUCAUCCUCGUCCUCUCCGGUGGCCACCUUCUCGCCGAUUGUCCCUGUACCAGUUAGAGUUGGAGAAGACCAACCCCCACCAUCUUGGAGCCCUGUACCAUCUCCAAGAAGCUUUAGAGAAAAGGAACUCUGCAAGAUGCUGGUUUUGUUCAGCAGCAACAAAUGUAUAUCUCAAUGUUCAUUGGUUCCAAUUUUCAGUAGCAUCCGGACCAUAUUUUUGAUCAAUUUAUUGACGAGCAACAUCUAUUGUUCAGUUAUUUAGGAGUAAACAGAGUUUAAGAUUGUUUUGGAUAAAUUAUGGAUGUUUUAUCUAGAAGUUAUGUCUGAUGGAUUAAUUAAC